CUAACGUCAUUGGUAGGUAGCCGCUAGCUAACGCUAGCUAGAAGGACUUGUUGUGACUUUGCCCGGUCGUGAGUCGUGACUUGAAGUCGUAACUUACGGGCUUAAAACUGUGUCUGGAAUGCAGCACUACUAAACAUUUGAGGGAG